rnacentral:rRNA from 1 species
UACAGAGGUCCCAAGCGUUGUUCGGAUUCACUGGGCGUAAAGGGUGCGUAGGCGGUCGGGUAAGUCUGAUGUGAAAGCUCGGAGCUUAACUCCGAAAUGGCAUUGGAUACUAUUCGGCUUGAGGAAUGGAGGGGAGACUGGAAUGCUCGGUGUAGCAGUGAGAUGCGUAGAUAUCGAGCGGAACACCAGUGGCGAAGGCGAGUCUCUGGACAUUUCCUGACGCUGAGGCACGAAAGCCAGGGGAGCAAACGGG